CCCGUCUGUAGGCAGCUGCCUAGGUUACCUUGUACCUAGGUAAGUGUUACACUGUGGGAAAAAAGCAGCCAAUAGCUGGUGGGCAUUCUGGGCCUGGUUAAUGCCAACUCUGUGAGAUAACUAUACCAGUGUGCAGCAUAGUUGGUGAUUUU
ensembl:snoRNA SNORA74 Small nucleolar RNA SNORA74